rnacentral:rRNA from 1 species
CCUACGGGCGGCAGCAGUGAGGAAUAUUGGUCAAUGGACGAGAGUCUGAACCAGCCAAGUAGCGUGAAGGAUGACUGCUCUAUGGGUUGUAAACUUCUUUUAUAAAGGAAUAAAACGAGGCACGUGUGCCUUUUUGCAUGUACUUUAUGAUUCAGGAUCGGCUAACUCCGUGCCAGCAGCCGCGGUAAUACGGAGGAUCCGAGCGUUAUCCGGAUUUAUUGGGUUUAAAGGGUGCGUAGAUGGGUUGAUAAGUCAGUUGUGAAAGUUUGCGGCUCAACCGUAGAAUUGCAAUUGAUACUGGCAGUCUUGAGUGCAGUUGAGGUAGGCGGAAUGCGUGGUGUAGCGGUGAAAUGCUUAGAUAUCACGAAGAACCCCGAUUGCGAAGGCAGCUUACUAAACUGUGACUGACAUUGAGGCUCGAAAGUGUGGGGAUCAAACAGGAUUAGAUACCCCAGUAGUC